GAAAGGAGCUGCUUCUGGACCAUCCUGUGGAACAGAGGGUGUGGAGUGUUCGGAUCCAACGUGAUCUUCUCUCUCUAACACUUCCCAAGUUGUUCUCUCUCUAACACUUGGGGUUUUUUUCUCUUUUUCUCGUAACACUUUAGAUUCCCUUCUCCACCUCAUGCCAAGAGAGUCCUGGCAUUGAAACCGAUCAACUACAGGCCACCAGUGAGUCCAAGUUCAGUCAACCAAACAAGCACGGGCCUGUAUUUCUUACCAGCUACAAGUGCUCCACAUUCCUUCAGUAACAUUUAGUAAGUGCAUCCCUGUCAGUGAAUCUACCCCAGUGAGUGCGUUAGCUCACCUCCUUAGCCUGGUAGCCUGAGAAUCCAUUCCCACAAAUGUUCACAUAGGAUUAAUCUGUUAGAUACCAGUUACAUCUGGGAAUUGUUUUGACACGUGAGCUAUUUCCUCAUGGUUCAGACUUAGCCGUGGGGCAUACUGUGACUGCACCCUACGUAUGGGCUGAAUGGCAAGGGGCAUGUUGCACAGGAUCUCAAGGACAACGUGAAUUGCAUUACAAGGGACCAAGCCCACACGAGAGAAUGACACAUUCCUCUAGCGAUGGGACACCGGUCCCUUAGACACGGGGCAGCUACGUGAACCACUAUGGGGGUGCUCGGAGGGGCUGAUGGCAUCCCGACUCUCAGCUUCGACUGAGGCCGAGCAGACGUCCCAGUUCCAGGUUUCCGGGCCACACUCCUCCAACCACGGCCAUACCUUUCACACGAGAAACACAGAGAGGCUGGGAAUUCAGUGGACUUUGGGAUUCUGUAACCCGCGCCGAUAAACUUGUGUUUAAUCUUCACCACGAGGAACCCUUGCAGGCCAUUGAAGACUUGGGGAGGUGGAGUAGCUUUCUAUCACAAUAACGCAAACAACGCGUAGAUAUCCACGAGCGCCGCUCUCUGAUCUCCUGAGAAAUCAAAGGAGGCUUCCGUGGGGGAUGGCCACCUGGGCUCACCUCUCAAGCCUCCAGGACAUGCUGAGUGUGCCACACGUUCCCCGGGGACCUCCAAGUGAGGGAGCGAGCCGCGCCGUAGAGCACAGCCCCACAGAAGGGGAUCUGGCUUGAGCCCGACGUCCUUGAUCCACACCCCGCCUGGGCCACUUGCCAGCUAGUGGCGCGGAAGAAGCCGUGAAUGGGGAUCACGCCUCGAACAGGCUGCUAGGGCUGCGGGAUGGCACAGCCGUGAAUGGGGAUCACGCCCGAGGCACACCGCAAGCUCGCAAUGCCAUGACCGCAAACGAUGUCCUCUGGCCUCUGAGAGUUGCACCCUGGGAAGGUCCACAGGGCCAGUCCUGUCUUCGACAGGCCUGCCGAUUCUCCACCAAGGUGGGCCGUGUCUUCAUGUCGAGGUUGCUGACGCGUGUCCCGCUGGGCCUCUGGGGGUCCUGGGCCGGAAGCCUGGGGUGGUAGCUCUACCCUUCCAGGGAGGGUGGAUGUGCUCGGCCGGCCCGGAGCCCAGCAGUACCACGACGAUGCAGGGGGAGCAGUUCCUCUCUCAGCCUGCAGCUAGGGGUCGGGGGAAGGCAGCCCCUCCCUGUUCGCGGCUGCUAGGACUGGAGUCAGGGGGGCGUUCGUCCCCGCUCCCUCAGACCCACUUCUCCUUAUAGCACCAUCCUGCCUUUGUCCCGCGGGGGUCACCCUUCACCAACACGGGUUUUAGGUGGGGUCUCGGUUCUGCCCUCUGACCUUCUGAAAGCCAUUUGCUCCUGGCACCUGGGAACCCCACCCCGGGAGCUCCUCCCCACCCCGGGAGCUCCUCCCCACGGCCCUAGCGCAUCCCUGCUCACCCACCCCUGACUUUGCAUUUGCUCUGCGUCCUCUUCCCCGGGAUUUCUCUUGCUUACCCGCGCGCCACCUAUGCGUGUUUCUCAUUCCGUAUUCGCUGGUCUUUCUCCCAAACUGGACUGGCAUCCCUGGAGGGCAGGGGCUGGCUGUCAGAGUGGCACCGCCCCCAGCCCCCAGCCCCCAGCCUAGGCAGCCCUGCAUCAUGUGACCGGCGCCCAGGGCCACAGCCAUUGGCCCAGCGGGUCAACCUACCAGCCCGGGUCACCGAGGACUUGGCAACAGGCUCAUCAAUGCCACCCCGGGUCUCCUUACUGUCAUCACACGUGGGAGGAGGCCUUCGUGCCCACCAUACGCAACCCAGAAAUCGCCAAUUGACAGUUUAAUACCCUUGGUGGUAUAAAAA